AAUAGAUACCCUGGUAGUCCACGCCGUAAACGAUGGAUACUAGCUGUCCGGCGCAAGCUGGGUGGCUAAAGCGAAAGUGAUAAGUAUCCCACCUGGGGAGUACGUUCGCAAGAAUGAAACUCAAAGGAAUUGACGGGGGGCCCGCACAAGCGGUGGAGCAUGUGGUUUAAUUCGAUGAUACGCGAGGAACCUUACCAGGGCUUAAAUGUAGUGGGACAGGUCCAGAGAUGGGCCCUUCUUCGGACUCAUUACAAGGUGCUGCAUGGUUGUCGUCAGCUCGUGCCGUGAGGUGUCAGGUUAAGUCCUAUAACGAGCGCAACCCCUGUCGUUAGUUGCCAGCAAGUGAAGUCGGGAACUCUAACGAGACUGCCGGUGCAAACCGUGAGGAAGGUGGGGAUGACGUCAAACCAUCACGGGCCCUUACGUCCUGGGCUACACACGUGCUACAACUGGCCGGUACAGAGAGCAGCCACGCCGCAAGGCGGAGCGAAUCUACAAAACCCGGUCACAGUUCGGAUCGGGGUCUGCAACUCGA
rnacentral:rRNA from 1 species